rnacentral:rRNA from 1 species
UACAGAGGUCUCAACCGUUGUUCGGAUUCAUUGGGCGUAAAGGGUGCGUAGGCGGUCGCGCAAGUCGGAUGUGAAAUCUUAGGGCUCAACCCUGAAACUGCAUUCGAUACUGCGUGGCUCGAGUACUGGAGAGGAGACUGGAAUUUACGGUGUAGCAGUGAAAUGCGUAGAUAUCGUAAGGAAGACCAGUGGCGAAGGCGAGUCUCUGGACAGUUACUGACGCUGAGGCACGAAGGCCAGGGGAGCAAACGGGG